GCCCGCCCAGCCUGGCUCCUGGUGCCCAGCUCUGCCUGGAGAGGGCCCACCGGAGACCCCCGGCCUGGAGCUAGGCGGGGGCUCAGGGCAGCGGGACUUCAUCGCGGGGACCUGAAGUUCAGUCAGGAUAGGUUUAGAUCUAACAGGAGGUGGAUGUGGACGUUCCAGGACUCAUUCACGUGGAGGAUCUUGAUGCAGGACCUCCUGCGUCCCCUCUGGGAAGGAGCCCGAAGCAGUGACGGAGGUGGAAGCGGGGGCAGGGGGCGGGGCCCAGGGCUGAGCCCGGGGUCCUCGAGGAAGGGGCAGCUCAGGUGACUGUCCCACCCCUUGGGGCUGAGGGGGGGCCAGGGGCCAGGGCCUUCAGUCCUAUCACAGGACAGCACCAGGCAACCUGCAUGGGCAGCCUCCCUGGGAGGCGGCACCGGGACUGGAGGCAGGAGCCUUGCAGUCUCCAGGCAGCGCCAGCAGCUCCCUGCAAUGGUGGCCUAGCAGAGGUGGGCCGUCCAGUCGGGCAAUCUGGUGAGCAGGGCCUGGAGGCCCGGGGUCCUGGGCGUCUUCCGUAACCUCCCUCAUCAACUGCCGUGGAAUCCAGAGCUCUGGGCUUGGCCAUUAAGGGCCAGUCCUCCGCACCCAGCUCUGCCUGCUGUGAGGGGCACCACAGCAUCCCGGCCAUGAGGUCUGCUCCUCGGUCACCUCCCAGCAAGCCCUGAGAGUGCCGUUCCUGAUGAAGUACGUACCACUAGGUGACAAAAGACGGCUUUCAAAAGCUUCAAGUCCUAUAACAAGGUGAUGCUCUUAAUUUCAGUUCUGCCACUUCCAUAGACCUUUGCUGACUCCUCCUGUUGACACAGGUUGCUCUCUCGCUUUUCAUUCAUCCACUUAUCCAACCCUACAUCCACAUAUCCACCAUCCAUGCAUCCAUCCAUCCACCCACCAUCCAUUCAUCCAACACCCCCCCGCCAUGCACACAUGCAUCUGUCCAUCCACCCAUCAUCCAUCUAAUCAUCCCCCGGCCAUGCACACGUGCAUCCGUCCAUCCACCCAUCAUCCAUCUAACCUCCCCCCCGCCAUGCACACAUGCAUCCGUCCAUCCACCCAUUAUCCAUCUAAUCACCCCCCGGCCAUGCAUGCAUUCAUCCAUCCAUCAUCCAUCCAUCAACUCUCCACCACUCAUCCAUCCAUCUGUCCAACCAUCCAGGCAUCCAUCCACCCAACUACCCACCCACCCAUCCACCCUCCAUCCAUCUGAUAAGCACAACAGAGUAUGUAUUGGGGAGACUGGUGGAUGGGAGUGCAGCCUCUGUCUUCACCAGUCCUGACUCCAUGGUUGUGCCUACUGCCUGUGGGUCCUUGGGCAGCUUCUCAACCUCUCUGAGUCUCAGUUUUCUCCUUGUGAAAAGGAAUAAAGGUACUGAAUUCCCAGGGUUGUUGUGAAGGUGCAAGGACAUAACAUAUGUAACAAACUUACUAAAGAAUAAAUCUCCACCUCCUCUUUCUUCUCUCAUCCUGGAGCCCAAGCCAACUCAGCCAGGAGACACUGAAGCAGGAAUCACAAUGAAAGAUGAGGGUUUCCACUGGGGAGGAACUGGGAGCUGUGAAAACACAGCCAGGAAGACUCAUCUGGUUGGGAGGUCAAGGGAGGAGUCCCAAGUGAACGGGCAUUGGCUGUAGGGGGAGAAGGGUGCCCUGAGGAGGAGAGCCUGGUGGAGGGACCCGAGUGAGUGGGGAGGGUGCCCAGAUGUGCUCAUGUUAUCCAGCUGAUGGGACAGCCUUGAGAAAUGUUGUAUUUAUGAAAAUUGUUCAUGGCAAUAGGUUCAUUUGCCAAGUAGCUCCCAUUGGCCAAAGCCCAGUUAAUGUUCUAAAAAACCCAAAUCUCCAAGAUGUUUUCCCCUUUUCUAGUUUUUAAUCCUCUCUUCCAUUUCUACUUGGGAUUUUUCAGAGCCUGACUGCAUUUUGGGAGGGAAAUAAAAGGAUUUAAAACUUAGACAAUAAAGCAAACCGCCUGCUAUGGUUCAA